UCCCUCGAGCCGGAUUUGAACCAGCGACCUAAGGAAUACCGUUGUAACAUCUACAGUCCUCCGCUCUGCCAACUGAGCUAUCGAGGG
rnacentral:tRNA from 1 species